AAUAGAUACCCUGGUAGUCCACGCCGUAAACGAUGUCGACUUGGAGGUUGUGCCCUUGAGGCGUGGCUUCCGGAGCUAACGCGUUAAGUCGACCGCCUGGGGAGUACGGCCGCAAGGUUAAAACUCAAAUGAAUUGACGGGGGCCCGCACAAGCGGUGGAGCAUGUGGUUUAAUUCGAUGCAACGCGAAGAACCUUACCUGGUCUUGACAUCCACAGAACCCUGUAGAGAUACGGGGGUGCCUUCGGGAACUGUGAGACAGGUGCUGCAUGGCUGUCGUCAGCUCGUGUUGUGAAAUGUUGGGUUAAGUCCCGCAACGAGCGCAACCCUUAUCCUUUGUUGCCAGCGGUUAGGCCGGGAACUCAAAGGAGACUGCCAGUGAUAAACUGGAGGAAGGUGGGGAUGACGUCAAGUCAUCAUGGCCCUUACGACCAGGGCUACACACGUGCUACAAUGGCGCAUACAAAGAGAAGCGACCUCGCGAGAGCAAGCGGACCUCAUAAAGUGCGUCGUAGUCCGGAUUGGAGU
rnacentral:rRNA from 1 species